rnacentral:tRNA from 1 species
GCCGAGAUAGCUCAGUAGGUAGAGCAGCGGACUGAAAAUCCGCGUGUCGGCGGUUCAAUUCCGUCUCUCGGCA